ACUCACAAAAUAAGUUUUGUUGAGAUUAUUAUUUUUGUUUCCUUUCCUUCUAUUGCAAUGGUAUUUGAUUUUAUUGUUUAUUUAAUAGAAUACUAAUGAGAGAUUACGGAAAAAAACACUAUGAUGUACUUCAUCAAUUGGACACAGGGUGGCAGUAACCACGAACAGUGUUACACUGAGAUAAUUAGCGGUGCAGAGCAAAAUGAGCUCAUAAUCCGUGUUACUGGAGAAUGAGCAACAGUUGUCCUGCGUCGCCGAUUUCUCAGGAAUAUUUCUGAUAUUUUCAGUUUCAGGAUUAUCUAUAUAUCUGCCAGCGGGGACCUAGCUGGGGCCCGCGACAAGUGCAUGCCAUAGCCACCAAAGUUAAACCCAGAUCCUUUACAGGAAAGACUCAGAGUUUCUCCAGCAUGAGAACUCACUUAUGAAGCUGAUUAGUAGCAGGAAUAAGGAGAGUGGGAUCUUCAUGGUGAGUGUUGAUGAGACUCGAUCUCUCCACUCAGCUCAGCUGCACAUAAAUACUGCAUGGACACACAGCAGUCUGGAUUUGCAUCGUGAUGUCAUGAUAGAAAACAUGUGGGAGUCAUGAUGAUGUAACGGAGAGGAACUGCAACUAAUCCUUGAUAGUGAUAUGAUUAUUACAGUGUGUAUCAUGUGCAGUAACAUCAGAAAUUUUGUAUUAUG